AAACCAGCACCUCAAGUGGUCAGGAUGAUUAUUGGGCCUAAAGCAUCCGUAGCCGGCUCUGUAAGUUUUCGGUUAAAUCUGUACGCUUAACGUACAGGCUGCUGGGAAUACUGCAGGGCUAGGGAGUGGGAGAGGUAGACGGUACUCGGGAGGAAGUGGUAAAAUGCUUUGAUCUCUCGAUGACCACCUGUGGCGAAGGCGGUCUACCAGAACACGUCCGACGGUGAGGGAUGAAAGCUGGCGGAGCAAACCGGAUUAGAAACCCCGGUAGUCC
rnacentral:rRNA from 1 species